AAAACUCCCAUUGCUCAGGCCCCAUCCAAUACUAAUUAAAUCAGAAUCUCUGAGUGUGGAACUCAGGCACCACUAAUUCUAAAAUACCCUGGGUGAUUCCAGGGUGCAGCCAAGUUUCAGAAAAACCGAUAGUGAGGAAAGUCCAGCAGUGCCCAUGCCUAGUGGUGGUGAGCAGCCACCUGCAUAUUAUAGAUCUCAAGGACAUAAAGAUGGUCAAUCUUAGGUCUUCAAACAUGGUCCAGACCUUUGGAUUGUGUUCCAUAUGCAAGGAUGAUACAGUAGAGUCAAUUUUUUUUUAGUAUCAGGAGACCUGCAACAGGAAAUCUAAAUGGCCAGCAAUGUGGACCAGCAUAUGUGGAACUGAGAUACUUGAUGGAGGAACACCUUCCUGAAGAGAGAGAUUAGAGACACCUG
rnacentral:lncRNA from 1 species